rnacentral:lncRNA from 1 species
GAAUUUGUUGCCCACACACCAAGGGUUCUGGGUCAAAACUAGCAAAAUGUUCAAAAUUUAUUAUGGCACAGAGCAAAGAACGCCACAACCCUGCCCCGAGGCACAACAAAAUCGAAGACACUUCAAGGGAAUGGGCAGGGGCAUGGCCAGGAGCAUUGCGAAUGUGUGUGACAGUUGGUGUGUCUUUUAUAGUUUUAUGUGUAGCAUAAUCAAUAACAAUUUGCAUUUAUAUACAAUGGAAGGGAAUGAAAUGAAUGGACGACGUCCCCUACAGGCAGCCAAGAACCCCAAAAAAGAAAGGGAAGCAACAAAAACAACGGCAGGAAACACACACAAAACAAAUAAAAACAAAAAUGCCAGAAGGCAGGACAGGGCAGAACAGGGCAGGACUGUGCAGGACUGUGCAGGACUGUGCAGGGGAGGCCACAGCUGAAGGGCUAGAAAAGUGUUUUAUGCCUGUCCUUUCCCCACUUGAAUUUCCAACAGCUCUUGGCUGUACCCCACACUUCAUUAACGUGGAUUGAGCAUGUAAUUUUGGAUUAGAAAAAAAGCGUUAAACAAUAAUAGAAAAUUGUAAUCCCCCCACUGCCACCCGC